GAAUAAGCCGACUUUGUGUAACUGCCUCCUCAAUGUUUUUCCUCCCAACCGGCAAUUUGUGCAUGUAAUUUUCAGCAGCCAGCAACUUAAUCUUCCACCCAGAAGCCGAAAUUUUCGUGUGUGGAGACGAAUUUCAGCAAGCCCAGCCUUAUUAAUUCAACUGUCUUAUUUGCUUCGAUUUCGUACGUAUAUAAAUAAAAUCUAGCAGCUGCUAAUUAACUCCAAAAAAGGGACUCCCUUGUUUGCUGUGAGUGUAUAUAAUAAUCUUCUUGGCUUCCCUCAAAUUCUAUUAUCUUUUCUCUCGAUUUUCUGUGAUGAAUCAAUUGGAGCCGUCAUAAUUGACUCCAAAGUGGAUUCCAAUUUUCU
rnacentral:lncRNA from 1 species